rnacentral:rRNA from 1 species
GAUCCUGGCUCAGGAUGAACGCUAGCUACAGGCUUAACACAUGCAAGUCGAGGGGCAGCAUGGAGUUGCUUGCAAACUCUGAUGGCGACCGGCGCACGGGUGAGUAACGCGUAUCCAACCUUCCCUAUAGUAGAGGAUAGCCCGGCGAAAGUCGGAUUAAUACUCUAUGUUUUCCGUUGCAGACAUCUAAGAUGGAACAAAGGCUUGCCGCUAUAGGAUGGGGAUGCGUCUGAUUAGGUAGUCGGCGGGGUAACGGCCCACCGAGCCAUCGAUCAGUAGGGUUCUGAGAGGAAGGUCCCCCACAUUGGAACUGAGACACGGUCCAAACUCCUACGGGAGGCAGCAGUGAGGAAUAUUGGUCAAUGGACGAGAGUCUGAACCAGCCAAGUAGCCGUGCAGGACGACGGCCCUAUGGGUUGUAAACUGCUUUUAUGCGGGGAUAAAGUUCACUACGUGUAGUGUUUUGUAGGUACCGCAUGAAUAAGGACCGGCUAAUUCCGUGCCAGCCGCCGC